GGCAAAGCUCAAAUUUGAAAUCUGGCACUUCGGUGUCCGAGUUGUAAUUUGAAGAUUGUAACCUUGGGGUUGGCUCUUGUCUAUGUUUCUUGGAACAGGACGUCACAGAGGGUGAGAAUCCCGUGCGAUGAGAUGCCCAAUCCUAUGUAAGGUGCUUUCGAAGAGUCGAGUUGUUUGGGAAUGCAGCUCUAAGUGGGUGGUAAAUUCCAUCUAAAGCUAAAUAUUGGCGAGAGACCGAUAGCGAACAAGUACAGUGAUGGAAAGAUGAAAAGAACUUUGAAAAGAGAGUGAAAAAGUACGUGAAAUUGUUGAAAGGGAAGGGUUUGAGAUCAGACUCGAUAUUUUGUGAGCCUUGCCUUCGUGGCGGGGUGACCCGCAGCUUAUCGGGCCAGCAUCGGUUUGGGCGGUAGGAUAAUGGCGUAGGAAUGUGACUUUGCUUCGGUGAAGUGUUAUAGCCUGCGUUGAUGCUGCCUGCCUAGACCGAGGACUGCGAUUUUAUCAAGGAUGCUGGCAUAAUGAUCCCAAACCGCCCGUCUUGAAACACGGACCAAGGAGUCUAACGGUCUAUGCGAGUGUUUGGGUGUUAAACCCGUACGCGUAAUGAAAGUGAACGUAAGGUGAGGGCUCUUUUGAGUGCAUCAUCGACCGAUCCUUGAUGUCUUCGGAUGGAUUUGAGUAAGACAUAGCUGUUGGACCCGAAAG
rnacentral:rRNA from 1 species